AAAUUUUCCUUCUCUUUGAAUAGCAAUUGGAAAAGCAUGAAAAUACUGGAAUUCUGUAGAUGCAGACACCUGAGACCUGACCCUGGAGUUGUGGGGAAAAUGUAGGCAACCUUACUUGGACUUGCAGCCUUGUAAAGGAGAGGGGAUGUAGACUGGAAUAACACUAGUGACAGGGCCAGGAUUUCUGCACUACAUUUCUGUGCUGGAAGAACACUAGCAACUCAUAGAAUACUGAAGGUCUGUUACUCCCAACUACUGGACAGUUGGAUUUGUCCAGGCCACAUGAAAUACCUCGGUUGUCUGUGUCACCUGCUGCGUGGUUCUUUACACCUUCUUCUUAGAAAAGCUGUCUCAAACAUCAACUAGGAGCAGUUGUAUGGUGUGCCAGUGGUGCUUUAUCCAGAAGGUUUGCCUUACCCACCAGCUCAGGAUGAGAAAUGAUCUGUAUCUUUCACGGAUUAGAUCAUGCGGUACUGUUGAUUGUUCGAGAGCAAGCAUCAAUGGAAUUAGAAUGAUCUAAAAUUCGUUUUGAAUGCAUGAAAAAAUUUAAAAUCCUGUUUUGUAUAUUGGAUUUGUGAUAGCAGUAAUAAACUUGUUUAAAAC